rnacentral:lncRNA from 1 species
UCUCAACAUAGAUGGACACUUACUGCAUAUUGCUUCACAUGACUCGGAAGACAUUACAGCCUUGUCUUUCUACAUGAUUACUUGAUACUUUUAAUUUAGCCCAAGCAAACUGAGAAUAUCCUAUGAUAAACCUUGGAUUCCUGAAAACAUAAGAUAGUUUUUAUUUAAACUGCAAAAACUUCAAAAACAGAAACAUUUUAUUUAUUAGUUAUAUUCUUCUACAGUCAACUCUUCCGGCAGAAAAUCUCAAAGCUAACUGCUAAAAGAAGAAACCUAAAAUAUCCGACUUCACUAAAGUACCCCGUUAAAACUACAAGACGAUAAAAUAUUAACAUUAAAACAAAACAUUCGUCCUCUCUGCGUGAAGCAAUAUGUUCAUCUCCCCCUUUCACUCCCGUUUCUCGUCAACUAAACACGCAGAAAACGAACAACAACUUAAUCUCAUCAUAGCAUGAUAGUAUAACGCACAUCCAUACAGCCAUAUGAAUGCUUAAAUGUGUGUGCAGGAGUUCAUGUAAAUAACAAACAUGAACAACAAGAGAUGCAUACUUGAGAUGAUUCGGAGCUCGACGUAGUGCCCACAUGGUCAAUCAGAAAGUUCCGCGCAAAGUUAGUAGAACACUAGGAUGAAAGCCUAAGCAAAUGGACUCGAAUAGUCUGGAUAGACGACACAGGUUUUUUAGGAUGUGAAGGGAUCGAUACAGGAAUGAGCUCUUAAACCCUAAAAACCCUGAGAGGUUACUGCUUUAGAAUG